GCCUGCAACUCGGCUGCAUGAAGCUGGAAUCGCUAGUAAUCGCGGAUCAGAAUGCCGCGGUGAGUACGUUCCCGGGUCUUGUACACACCGCCCGUCACACCAUGGGAGCCUGAUAUGCCCGAAGUCAGUGGCCCAACCGAGAGGGGGGAGCUGCCGAAGGUGGAGCAGGUGACUGGGGUGAAGUCGUAACAAGGUAAC
rnacentral:rRNA from 1 species